CGGAUCGCGUCCCGGGGCGGCGCACGCACACCUGGGCGGGGCGCGGGCCGCUCUGCGUCCGAAGCGGCUCCGACGCCGUCGCUGGGACCAAGAUGGACCUCCCGGCGCUGCUCCCCGCCCCGACUGCGCGCGGAGGGCAACAUGGCGGCGGCCCCGGCCCGCUCCGCCGAGCCCCAGCGCCGCUCGGCGCGAGCCCCGCGCGCCGCCGCCUGCUACUGGUGCGGGGCCCUGAAGAUGGCGGGCCCGGGGCGCGGCCCGGGGAGGCCUCCGGGCCAAGCCCGCCGCCCGCCGAGGACGACAGCGACGGCGACUCUUUCUUGGUGCUGCUGGAAGUGCCGCACGGCGGCGCUGCUGCCGAGGCUGCCGGAUCACAGGAGGCCGAGCCUGGCUCCGGUGUCAACCUGGCGAGCCGCCCCGAGCAGGGCCCCAGCGGCCCGGCCGCCGCCCCCGGCCCUGGCGUAGCCCCGGCGGGCGCCGUCACCAUCAGCAGCCAGGACCUGCUGGUGCGUCUCGACCGCGGCGUCCUCGCGCUGUCUGCGCCGUCCGGCCCCGCAACCGCGGGCGCCGCCGCUCCCCGCCGCGCGCCCCAGGCCUCCGGCCCCAGCACGCCCGGAUACCGCUGCCCCGAGCCGCAGUGCGCGCUGGCCUUCGCCAAGAAGCACCAGCUCAAGGUGCACCUGCUCACGCACGGCGGCGGUCAGGGCCGGCGGCCCUUCAAGUGCCCGCUGGAGGGCUGUGGUUGGGCCUUCACAACGUCCUACAAGCUCAAGCGGCACCUGCAGUCGCACGACAAGCUGCGGCCCUUCGGCUGUCCAGUGGGUGGCUGUGGCAAGAAGUUCACUACGGUCUAUAACCUCAAGGCGCACAUGAAGGGCCACGAGCAGGAGAGCCUGUUCAAGUGCGAGGUGUGCGCCGAGCGCUUCCCCACGCACGCCAAGCUCAGCUCCCACCAGCGCAGCCACUUCGAGCCCGAGCGCCCUUACAAGUGUGACUUUCCCGGCUGUGAGAAGACAUUUAUCACAGUGAGUGCCCUGUUUUCCCAUAACCGAGCCCACUUCAGGGAACAAGAACUCUUUUCCUGCUCCUUUCCUGGGUGCAGCAAGCAGUAUGAUAAAGCCUGUCGGCUGAAAAUUCACCUGCGGAGCCAUACAGGUGAAAGACCAUUUAUUUGUGACUCUGACAGCUGUGGCUGGACCUUCACCAGCAUGUCCAAACUUCUAAGGCACAGAAGGAAACAUGACGAUGACCGGAGGUUUACCUGCCCUGUCGAAGGCUGUGGGAAAUCAUUCACCAGAGCAGAGCAUCUGAAAGGCCACAGCAUAACCCACCUAGGCACAAAGCCGUUUGAGUGUCCUGUGGAAGGAUGUUGCGCGAGGUUCUCCGCUCGUAGCAGUCUGUACAUUCACUCUAAGAAACACGUGCAGGAUGUGGGUGCUCCGAAAAGCCGUUGCCCAGUCUCUACCUGCAACAGACUCUUCACCUCCAAGCACAGCAUGAAGGCGCACAUGGUCAGACAGCACAGCCGGCGCCAAGAUCUCUUACCUCAGCUAGAAGCUCCGAGUUCUCUUACUCCCAGCAGUGAACUCAGCAGCCCAGGCCAAAGUGAGCUCACUAACAUGGAUCUUGCUGCACUCUUCUCUGACACACCUGCCAAUGCUAGUGGUUCUGCAGGUGGGUCGGAUGAGGCUCUGAACUCCGGAAUCCUGACUAUUGACGUCACUUCUGUGAGCUCCUCUCUGGGAGGGAACCUCCCUGCUAAUAAUAGCUCCCUAGGGCCGAUGGAACCCCUGGUCCUGGUGGCCCACAGUGAUAUUCCCCCAAGCCUGGACAGCCCUCUGGUUCUCGGGACAGCAGCCACGGUUCUGCAGCAGGGCAGCUUCAGUGUGGAUGACGUGCAGACUGUGAGUGCAGGAGCAUUAGGCUGUCUGGUGGCUCUGCCCAUGAAGAACUUGAGUGACGACCCACUGGCUUUGACCUCCAAUAGUAACUUAGCAGCACAUAUCACCACACCGACCUCUUCAAGCACCCCCCGAGAAAAUGCCAGUGUCCCGGAACUGCUGGCUCCAAUCAAGGUGGAGCCGGACUCGCCUUCUCGCCCAGGAGCAGUUGGGCAGCAGGAAGGAAGCCAUGGGCUGCCCCAGUCCACGUUGCCCAGUCCAGCAGAGCAGCACGGUGCCCAGGACACAGAGCUCAGUGCAGGCACUGGCAACUUCUAUUUGGUAUGAAGCACUCUAUUCAGUCACCACCAUAUAGGUCACUUCUCUCAUACUCGGUCUUGAGGAUAUUCUGGAUUAAUCCUUUCUAUGCAGACGUUUCUGGUUUACAAAAGGACGCAGCCCUGGACUACAAGUCUGGAACUGACAAGUUCUUAUGACCUUGACAAAUCACCUUAACCCAUCUGAGCCUUAAAUUCUCAUUUAUUUCCUGCAUAAGGAGAUUUGGCUAAAUGCUUUCUGAGGUCCUUUGGAGUCCUGUGGCUCCAUGCUGUGUGACGUUGGGCUACCUCGCUUCUCUGAGUACAAAUGGUGUGUGGUGAAUGGGUCCCAGGAAAGUGGGGGCUCAGCAAGAACUGAUUACCGAGCCAUUCAACUAGCCAAGGAAAAAAAGCAGAGAGGAGCGGGGAGCAAUGCAGGAGCCUCACAGUCUACUCAGAGAAAAAUAAAAGAAGGCAAAAUGAGUCCUCCCCAUUUCCAUGCAAGCCAGAACAGUUGGUUGUGUGGGAGCCUCGUGGUGCCCAGCGGAGGACGGCCAGGACCAGCUCCAGCAGCUGGGGUGCAGUGCGGGGCGCAGGGCGUCCAGGUCCAGCUGGUGCAGGAUGACCCCUCCGGCGAAGGUGUCCUGCCCUCGGCCCGCGGCCCAGCCGCCUUCCUCCCCUUCCUCACUGUGGACCUGCCCGUCUACGUCCUCCAGGAGGUGCUCCCCUCAUCUGGAGGCCCUGCUGGACCGGAGGCCACCCAGUUCCCAGGAAGCACUAUCAACCUGCAGGAUCUGCAGUGACGGCAGCCUCGGCCUGGGCAGGCCCAAGGCCACAGUCUAGGACACACCUUCCCUGAGACUCAUGACAUGAGCCUGGGGAGACCUCAUUUGGUUUCCGUUCAGAAGACCAGCGUAGCCCUUUUGAGACUUUUGGGUACAUUUAUCAAAAAUGUUUUCCUUUUGUUUUACCAGGAAUGAGUUCAGGCUAUACUCUUUGAAACUGCAUUUGUGAGCAAAGUGCUUUGGCAAGGCAAGGGUCUCCCUCAGCAGGGCUAGGUGCACUACAGCCCCUUUCCCCGUGUCCCGUUGGAUCUGAGCUGUGUAGCACUUGUUGCAUUACAAAGAAAAAGACUUCUGCAGGAAAUAGGGUAGAGAACAGGCUGUCUAGUCAGAUGCAACUUGAUCUGUGGCAAAACCAAGUGUGGUCUUUCAGCUUCAGUGUGUUAGCAUCCCAGCACCUGGGAUGGGGUUUGUGGGCAAGUUGAUUUUGCCACACUGUAGGGCCCAGGUGGUCCCAUUACCACCGUGAAGCCAAAUUCUAGCCCAAGUCUGGUAGAGCAGUCGGGCAGCUAGUUUUCGGGGGAGAAUGAUGUGGUGGGACAGAGGACCUCAGUGGCCUAUUACGGAGCCCUCUUCCCAGACUAAAUUCAUAGCCGAGAGCUCGGGGGGAUGGUAGAGUUAAAAUUUAAAAUAAUUUUCUAAAUUCUGUAUUUGGAUAUUAGUGUUUAAGUGGUAAUUUGGCAACAGUUUAUAAAGUGAUGUUCUGAAUACCAUAAAUUAUGUGUAGGACUGUGA